rnacentral:rRNA from 1 species
CGGGCGGGUGAGUAAUGUCUGGGAAACUGCCCGAUGGAGGGGGAUAACUACUGGAAACGGUAGCUAAUACCGCAUAACGUCGCAAGACCAAAGAGGGGACCUUCGGGCCUCUUGCCAUCGGAUGUGCCCAGAUGGGAUUAGCUAGUAGGUGGGGUAACGGCUCACCUAGGCGACGAUCCCUAGCUGGUCUGAGAGGAUGACCAGCCACACUGGAACUGAGACACGGUCCAG